rnacentral:lncRNA from 1 species
UUUUUUUGAAACCCUAAUUUUUCCUCUUCCCACAAUUGAAUGCCACCACAAACUUGGUUCAAUUGAUUAUCUUGAAGGAUAUGGACUUUCGAUGGAUUCCAAUACGAUCUAGGUAUAAUCGAACCAUGCUUGAUGUUAUGUCCUAUUCUCUUUGACGAUGGCGAUGAUGUUAAUCCCUUUGCUCAUGAAAGGUGUUGGGGCUACCGCCCCGAAUAUGUCUAAUACAGCCGAAAUCUGAUCUAGCCACUCCAUUAUCAUGUAAAUCCAUCUUCCUUUAACCUUUUUCGUGUAAGACGGGAAAUACAUAUGAGACUAUCAGCUGGUAAGUUAUUGCUAGAAAUAUUUUAAUAGGAUUUGUGAUGGCUUUACAUUUAAUAUUUCAGUCAUUUCUUAAUAACAUUAUUUGAUAGUUAGAUGUCUUAUUGUCCUUUAGAGCUGGUCUCAUUUUUUUUAAUCUAUCAAACUAACAUAUGCUUAAAUGAGGAAACUAUACAGCAACACCUAACUUUUUGUUUCAUGCGUUUUGUAAAGGUUUUUCUUUCU